rnacentral:sRNA from 1 species
UAAAAGUUCCUUGUCAGGCGACAGAAUGGACGCCAUGCUCGCAUGGGCGGACAUUCUGGCAUCGGACAAGACUGCAGGUAUGAGCAUGCAGAGCGAAGCUCGGAAUGCGAAUACCGGCGGUGAUUGCGAAAGGGCGAAGCCCCGAGCAAUCGACUUUUA